AAACGACUCUCGGCAACGGAUAUCUCGGCUCUCGCAUCGAUGAAGAACGUAGCGAAAUGCGAUACUUGGUGUGAAUUGCAGAAUCCCGUGAACCAUCGAGUCUUUGAACGCAAGUUGCGCCCGAAAGCCUUAUGGCCGAGGGCACGUCUGCCUGGGCGUCACGCA
rnacentral:rRNA from 1 species